ACUGCAGUCAUGGGCCACACAAAAUCAGUCCAGGUGCUCCAAAUGGCCCUCUGGCCGCACUUUGGACAUCCCUGGUUUGCAGUUUGUCAGCAGCACCGGGCGACUCAGGAAACGUGGGAAAAAUUAGGAAAUAUUCAAGGGAUAUGAAUGAUUUAUAAAGGUGAUGUAAACUACACCAAGCAGAUUUUAAUAUUUCUGUUUUUGCUUAGUUAUAAGAACCUGAAUAUAAAAAUUCACCUCUGCAGACGAGGCCCUAACCUCAAGAGUCAAUUGCUGAGUCUAAUGUGGAUUCUGAGUCAUCGCAUUAGAAAAGGUUGAGAUGUGGAAUAACUUCCUGAAUUUCGCUCACUUGACAUGGCUUUUGGCUUUUCCGAAAAAGAGUCAAUGUGCUAAAGAGGAGAUGGAGACACAUUUGCUGAAUAAGUUCUGACUUUUCCAUCCAUUGGGUCAACAUCCGGUGAUAUUACACCUUCCAUAGCCUGGUUGAUUCGCUCCAAACCAGUAGAUGGAAACAAGCCUAAUUAGCAUUUUCUCUCUUUUUUUUUUUGAGACAUUUUAAAAGUUUGCUCAAAAUUUGCUCUACAAGUGGAUGGAAACAUAUCUAAUGACCGUGGAGCAAACUGCAUUCUUAUCAAAGACAAAGAGGACAGCGCCGUCGUCAACGAGCCGCAUAUCCAAUCAGCUGCUCUGUAUUAUGGAAUGGAAACCGAUUGGUCAGCAUUUAGAAAAACAAAAGCUUGUUUUACAACAAUUAAGUGUGCUUAAUUUUUGUGUUUUUCUCUUAGCCAGUUGCGGAAAUACUUAAUAAUCAUGUACAUUUUCUGCUGCUACUACUACUGCAUCUGGCUAAUCCAAACAUAUUGUGAAAUGAUGAGCUUAUGAAAAUGAAGCAUGAAGUGGUCGA